rnacentral:rRNA from 1 species
GACGAACGCUGGCGGCGUGCUUAACACAUGCAAGUCGAACGGAAAGGCCCUGCUUUUGUGGGGUGCUCGAGUGGCGAACGGGUGAGUAACACGUGAGUAACCUGCCCUUGACUUUGGGAUAACUUCAGGAAACUGGGGCUAAUACCGGAUAGGAGCUCCUGCUGCAUGGUGGGGGUUGGAAAGUUUCGGCGGUUGGGGAUGGACUCGCGGCUUAUCAGCUUGUUGGUGGGGUAGUGGCUUACCAAGGCUUUGACGGGUAGCCGGCCUGAGAGGGUGACCGGCCACACGGGGACUGAGAGACGGCCCAGACUCCUACGGGGUGCAGCAGUGGGGAAUAUUGCACAAUGGGCGGACGCCUGAUGCGGCAACGCCGCGUGCGGGAUGACGGCCUUCGGGUUGUAAACCGCUUUCGACUGUGACGAAGAGUGAGUGACGGUAAUGAGUAAAGAAGCACCGGCUAACUACGUG